rnacentral:lncRNA from 1 species
AAAUGGUCAUUACUAACACCAUAAUGUACCAAGACAUAACACCAAAAUGGUCAUUACAAACACCAUAAUGUACCAACAUAACUUGAUAGGUAAGACAACUACAGGUCAUUACCAACAUCAUAAUGUACCAAAACAUAACAUAACAGGUCCAAUAGCACCAAAACAUCCAAAAAAAAAAGGUAGCUAACCAAAAUUACAGUUUCAACAUAAGCAUCAUAGUGCAACUAAUAGGUUCAUAGCCAAAAAGUAAAGUAAAACUUAAACAUUAAACAGUUUCAUAAUCUAGUAUGUAGAUAAUGUGUCCUUCCCAUCAGUUCCUUUUGCUUGGUUGUUCUUCUGAAUAUUCUCAUUCCAAUUCACUAGACCUGUGACCAACUCCCUUGUAACCUUUUCUAGUUCCUCUGGUGGAAGCAUCUUCAGGUCUCUCAACAUUGCUUCAGCUUGACUCUCUGAUGGACCCCCAACAGUCAUGACCUUCUUGCCUUGUAACUUUUGCAAUAUU